CCUACGGGAGACAGCAGUAGGGAAUAUUGCUCAAUGGGGGAAACCCUGAAGCAGCAACGCCGCGUGGAGGAUGAAGGUUUUCGGAUUUUAAACUCCUUUUUUUAGAGAAGAUAAUGACGGUAUCUAACGAAUAAGCACCGUCUAACUCCGUGCCAGCAGCCGCGGUAAUACGGAGGGUGCAAGCGUUACUCGGAAUCACUGGGCGUAAAGAGCGCGUAGGCGGGAUAGCAAGUCAGAUGUGAAAUCCUACGGCUUAACCAUAGAAUUGCAUUUGAAACUGUUAUUCUAGAGUAUGGGAGAGGUAGGUGGAAUUCUUGGUGUAGGGGUAAAAUGCGUAGAGAUCAAGAGGAA
rnacentral:rRNA from 1 species